rnacentral:rRNA from 1 species
GGCCCAGACUCCUACGGGAGGCAGCAGUGAUUCCUCUUGGUCAAUUUGCUCGAGCCUGCCCCAGCCAAGUCGCGUGCGGGAGGACGGCCCUCCGGGUUGUCCACCUCUUUUGCCGGGGAGCAACGGGCGUCACGUGUGGCGCCACUGAGAGUACCCGGAGAAAAAGCAUCGGCUAACUCCGUGCCAGCAGCCGCGGUAAUACGGAGGAUGCGAGCGUUAUCCGGAUUUAGGGGGGUUAAAGGGUGCGCAGGCGGCACGGCAUGCCGGCGGUCAAAUCGCGGGGCGCAACCCCGCCCAGCCGUCGGAACUGCCGGGCUAGAGGGGGCGAGAAGUGCGCGGAAUGCGUGGGGGAGCGGUGAAAGGCAGAGAUAUCACGCAGAACUCCGAUUGCGAAGGCAGCGCACCGGCGCCCUACUGACGCUCAGGCACGAAAGCGUGGGUAUCGAACAGGAUUAGAUACCCGAGUA